rnacentral:ncRNA from 1 species
AAUCAAUAAAGGCAAACCCGUUGAAAGGCGGGGACGCAAAGCCAUGGGUCUAACACCGAGUCUCCCUAACUCGGUCAUGAUUGCCAGGUUGCUGAU